GCACAUGGCCAUAUCACGUUGAAUGCACCAUGUUCGUCCGAGAACCCAAAUAAAGCAACAUAGAGCUGAGUUAGUUUUUAUAUGGGUGACCGUUUGAGAAACCUAGCUGCUGUAAGUA
rnacentral:rRNA from 1 species